CCGAGGCCAGGAGCGCCCAGGACGGGCUGGUAGCCUAAUCCUUGAGCGGAGCUUUCAAUCUCAGAGUUUCUGCCCAGCCAACAGCCUAAAUUCACUCAAGCAUUUUGAGGAAGGGUGUGGAAAAGCUCCAGAGGACAGGAACAAAAGGUUGUAUAGAGGUUGAAUCAAAAGAUGCAAAAUGUUGGAACAAAUGCAAGUGUAUUGCUGAUGAAAUUAUUAUAUGAGGACAUGACUGAUGCCUGUGGGCCAGGAUCUUCCUAAUCUGCACUCCAGCAUAUGAGUGAAGUGCUCCAGUUCAGUGCACAGAGGGCAGCUUUUGGAGGAAAAUUCCCAAUCAUAUCUGAAAGGAGGUGGAACAUGAUCCAUAUUCCAUGUGCUGGAC